CUAUUUCCCAAUUCCCCAUUUCCCAAUUCCAGUCCCAAUUCCCUGUUUUCCAGUUCCAACUCCCCAUUUCCCAGUUCCAGUUCCAAUUCCCUUUUUCCCACUUCCAGUUCCAAUUCUCCAUUUUCCAAUUCCAGUUCCAAUUCCCCAUUUCCCAGUUCCAGUUCCCCAUUUCCCAAUUCCAGUUUCAAUUUCCUAUUUCCCAAUUCCCCAUUUCCCAAUUCCAGUCCCAAUUCUCCAUUUCCCAAUUCCAAUUCCCCCUUUCUCAAUUCCAGUUCCAAUUCCCCAUUUCCCACUUCCAGUUCCCCAUUUCCCAAUUCCAGUUCCAAAUUCCCAAUUCCAGUUCCAAUUCCCUAUUUCCCAACUCCCCAUUUCCCACUUCCAGUUCCAAUUCCCUUUUUCCCAGUUCUAGUUCCAAUUCCCAAUUUCCCACUUCCAGUUCCCCAUUUCCCAAUCUCCAUUUCCCAAUUCCCAAUUCCAAUUCCAAUUCCAAUUCCCCAUUUCCCAAUUCCAGUUCCCCAUUUCCCAAUUCCAGUUCCAAAUUCCCAAUUCCAGUUCCAAUUCCCCAGUUCCCAGUUCCAGUUCUCUAUUUUCCAAUUCCCUAUUCCCCAUUUCCCAGUUCCAGUUCCAAUCCCCCAUUUCCCAGUCCCAAUUCCCCAUUUCCAGUUCCAAUUCCCCAUUUCCCAAUUCCAGUUCCAAUUCCCAAUUCCAGUUUCAAUUUCCUAUUUCUCAAUUCCCCAUUUCCCAAUUCCAGUUCCAAUUCCCUAUUUCCCUAUUCCCCAUUUCCCAGUCCCAAUUCCCUAUUUUCCAAAUCCAGUCCCAAUUCCCCAUUUCCAGUCCCAAUUCCCCAUUUCCCAGUCCCAAUUCCAGUCCCAAUUCCCCAUUUCCCAGUUCCAUUUCCCAUUUCCAGUUCCAAUUCUCUAUUUCCCAAUUCCCCAUUUCCCAGUUCCAGUUCCAAAUUCCUAUUUCCCAAUUCCCUUUUUCCCAUUUCCCAAUUCCAAUUCUCCGUUUCCCAAUUCCAAUUCCCCAUUUCCCAAUUCCACUUCCCUUUGUGAACACUUCUUGAGUGAUCAAACUCCCAUUUUCCCUGUCACCCCCAUCCUGGGAAAACCCAAUAAUUUUUUUACCACAAUUAAACUCCUUUUCCACACCCCCCA
rnacentral:lncRNA from 1 species